rnacentral:rRNA from 1 species
GAUGAACGCUGGCGGCGUGCCUAAUACAUGCAAGUCGAGCGAACAGACGAGGAGCUUGCUCCUCUGACGUUAGCGGCGGACGGGUGAGUAACACGUGGAUAACCUACCUAUAAGACUGGGAUAACUUCGGGAAACCGGAGCUAAUACCGGAUAAUAUAUUGAACCGCAUGGUUCAAUAGUGAAAGACGGUUUUGCUGUCACUUAUAGAUGGAUCCGCGCCGCAUUAGCUAGUUGGUAAGGUAACGGCUUACCAAGGCAACGAUGCGUAGCCGACCUGAGAGGGGGAGGGGCUGCAGUGGAAUUUAGACAGGGUCGGGAGAACGAAGGGAGGAACCAGGCGGGAUGAUUGCUCAAUGUGCUAAAACCGUACGCAGCUAUGACUCGGGAGGAAUAAAGGUGUUAGGAUCGGAACACGUCGUGACGAGGCAAAAACAAAUGGGCACGGAAAUAUACACGCCGGGACGGGAACGAAGCAGCAAGGGACCGCGCUCCUGGUG